rnacentral:rRNA from 1 species
GACGAACGCUGGCGGCGUGCUUAACACAUGCAAGUCGAACGGAAAGGCCCUGCUUUUGUGGGGUGCUCGAGUGGCGAACGGGUGGGUAACACGUGAGUAACCUGCCCUUGACUUUGGGAUAACUUCAGGAAACUGGGGCUAAUACCGGAUAGGAGCUCCUGCUGCAUGGUGGGGGUUGGAAAGUUUCGGCGGUUGGGGAUGGACUCGCGGCUUAUCAGCUUGUUGGUGGGGUAGUGGCUUACCAAGGCUUUGACGGGUAGCCGGCCUGAGAGGGUGACCGGCCACAUUGGGACUGAGAUACGGCCCAGACUCCUACGGGAGGCAGCAGUGGGGAAUAUUGCACAAUGGGCGGAAGCCUGAUGCAGCAACGCCGCGUGCGGGAUGACGGCCUUCGGGUUGUAAACCGCUUUCGCCUGUGACGAAGCGUGAGUGACGGUAAUGGGUAAAGAAGCACCGGCUAACUACGUGCCAGCAGCCGCGGUGAUACGUAGGGUGCGAGCGUUGUCCGGAUUUAUUGGGCGUAAAGGGCUCGUAGGUGGUUGAUCGCGUCGGAAGUGUAAUCUUGGGGCUUAACCCUGAGCGUGCUUUCGAUACGGGUUGACUUGAGGAGGGUAGGGGAGAAUGGAAUUCCUGGUGGAGCGGUGGAAUGCGCAGAUAUCAGGAGGAACACCAGUGGCGAAGGCGGUUCUCUGGGCCUUUCCUGACGCUGAGGAGCGAAAGCGUGGGGAGCGAACAGGCUUAGAUACCCUGGUAGUCCACGCUGUAAACGGUGGGUACUAGGUGUGGGGUCCAUUCCACGGGUUCCGUGCCGUAGCUAACGCUUUAAGUACCCCGCCUGGGGAGUACGGCCGCAAGGCUAAAACUCAAAGGAAUUGACGGGGCCCCGCACAAGCGGCGGAGCAUGCGGAUUAAUUCGAUGCAACGCGUAGAACCUUACCUGGGUUUGACAUGGAUCGGGAGCGCUCAGAGAUGGGUGUGCCUCUUUUGGGGUCGGUUCACAGGUGGUGCAUGGCUGUCGUCAGCUCGUGUCGUGGGAUGUUGGGUUAAGUCCCGCAACGAGCGCAACCCUUGUUCACUGUUGCCAGCACGUUAUGGUGGGGACUCAGUGGAGACCGCCGGGGUCAACUCGGAGGAAGGUGGGGAUGACGUCAAGUCAUCAUGCCCCUUAUGUCCAGGGCUUCACGCAUGCUACAAUGGCUGGUACAGAGAGUGGCGAGCCUGUGAGGGUGAGCGAAUCUCGGAAAGCCGGUCUCAGUUCGGAUUGGGGUCUGCAACUCGACCUCAUGAAGUCGGAGUCGCUAGUAAUCGCAGAUCAGCAACGCUGCGGUGAAUACGUUCCCGGG